AUUUUUGUAAUUUAAAAAUAAAAACAAACCAAAAGAAUCAAGAGACUUUAAAAUGGAGAUAAGACCAAUUAGGGAAUCUCUUUCCAUCUUCUAUUGCACAAAACUUACUAUUUUUCUGUCAUUGGUUGUAUGAGAUUCACAAAGCCAGCCAUAAAAAGCAUACAUUUUUCUCUAAUAUUAAAGCAAUUCCUGGGAUUGUUGAUCCUAAUGUGAAAGUGAGAUUUGUCUGAUAUAGAUCCAUGAGGUCAGUCUCAUAAAUCACCCUGCUGGCGCUGCAUUAGAAAUUCAAAGUCUGGAGAUGCAACUCUCAAUGUGUCUACGGCUCCCCAGGCACCACUAGUCCUGAUCCCCUUUGCCCACAGCAUUGAUGGGCUAAGCUUACAGAAUUUGGAGCUGGACAUUGCUCUCCAUUUGUCUCUCUCUUCUGCUUUAGAUCUGCUCCUCUGUCUUAGUCUACCUGAGGAGUCCAGAGAUAACUUACUGCAACAGAGAACACAGUCAGAAAUUUACUUUGGUUAUGCUGGAAAAGCUGUAAAACAUAUAUCGUUGUGUAUUAAGCAAAAUGAUAUAGAAGGCUGGGGUAUCUACAGCAAUGGUGGGUGAAUUCUCAGGCAAGACCUCAAAGUGACAGAAACUAUUUUGUCUAUUCCCCUAGAAUGUGAUCCCUUUAGAGACAGGCUCACAUUAUCUAGACACACCAAGACUAAUUUCCAAACCAAAUUUGUACUCACUAUUACAAUGAAGGCGGCUAAACCAUGGCAAUGGUAAGAAUUCUCAGGUCUAAUCUUUAGGAUGCCCUUUCAACAUGACUUCAAAAUGAGACAGACUCAGGGUCAAAUCAGAGCUCCACCAUCAGCUAUAUGACCAGAAGCAUGUUGAUAAAACUCUCUCAAGCUCAUUUUGUCAUCUGGAUAAUGGAGAUAGUACUACUUUAGAUUGGAUCCUUGGAAACAAGCUCUGAGAUGGGGAGUUGUAAGCAGAGGCUUACUGGGGAGAUACAUACACUUUGUAAGAAGGAGAGAAUUGCAGAAUUGGGCAGAGAGGUAAGCUGACCCGCAAUGUAGCUGCGGCUGAGACAUCUGGAACUCGGAUGGGAACUCUGAAGCUAAGACGGCCCUACAGAGUUGUCCCAAAUUAAGAGAGAGGAGCUGAGCCUUUGAACCCUUCAGUCAAUCAUUGGCCAAAUGCCAUGCCCAGGGAAGGUGUGUAACCUUGGGUGAUGUAGUCUGCUAUAACUGAGGACAGUUCCUAGUGAGAGGUACAGCUGUGCGCCUCUAGCAGCCUAUAUGCCCAGCUGGGCUGCACUGGCUUUGAAGAGGGGAUCUUGGCGAUGCUCCCUGGUAUCGGCUACAAGUACAUACUCCAGGGUUGUGGGUGAUUAUAAAAGUGCUUAGCAUAGUGCCAGCCACACCACAGGGCAUCUACAAAUAUUAGUUCCUUUCCUUUCCUUCCCUCUCGAGAAAUAUUUCUCAAUGACUUUGAAAGAAUAUGGCGAUGUUUUUCCUGUUCUGUUCUAAAUUGGACCUUUCCAGUGGCCAAAACCCCUGCAGCCACCAGAAAUAUCUCUUUGCCUCGGGGAGUACAAAACAAACACUAACAAAACCUUAAUCUCUAAUUUACUUCAUCUGUCACGAAAGGACCCAAAACCUCUUGACAGGUAAACAACUAGGGGAAGGUUUGCUCUUAUUGUCAGCUACAUACUGCCCUUUUUUUGGGUAUUUUUUUCUUAUUGGAGAUUUUGGAGAUCCCUUCAUCCUCUGGGCUGAAAUAUUACCCAGGUACUUGAAGCUGAGUGAGGAAGGACAUUUUUAGCAUAUGACUAAGGUAAUUCAUUAGACACUGGUUCUUUUUAAUUGGCUUCAGUAGCAGAGGGUCACCUUUUCUUGACUUUGAACUCAAAUUUCCCCUUGUCAGAAAUCCUGUAUACUUACUAUCCAGCCCAAAUAUGCUCAGGAGGAUUUUCCAUUCUGGUUUCUUGUUUUGUGUUCUCUCUCUUCUCAUAGUACUAAGUAGCAUCCAGAAUAGGACAGGGGCAGGACAGGAAGGAGAGAUAAGAGGGCAUCCAUCAUUAUUGCAAUUGUUUGGUAGGUGGGAUCCUCUAGGGGAGGGACAGAAGUCUUUGGGUAUUCACUGUAAAAAUCAGUGCCCAGGUCUCUGGGUCAAUGAGUGAAGUGGCUGAAGCAGAGUCAUCAAAAGAGCCAAAGUUUUUAAUCGGAGGAAUCCAUAUAGUGAUUAAGAUUCUGUUGGCUGAAGAGUAAUUAAAACCAACUCAAGAUAGCUUAAAGAAGAAAAUUUAUUUUUACGAUUACAGUGGUGUUUCACAAAACCCAAGGGCAUGGGUGCGGCCAAUCUCAGAAAUGAACUGUAGUCAGGAAACCCAAGCAGACCUCUCUCUCAUUUACUCACUUCUGUAUCUCUCUGUAUAUAUGCUCUGCGGUGGUUUUGAAAGUAUGUUCUCAAAUUCUUUGACAGUUCUUUCCUCAAAAGCGGAGCCUAAUUCCCCUCUCAUUGAGUGUCGGUUGGACUUGGUGGCACUUUUAAUGAGUAGAACGUGGCAGAAUGAUGGUUUGUGACUUCAGAGCUGAGGACAUAGAAAAUAUUGUGGCUUCCUCCCUGUUCUCUUUCUUGGACCACUUGUUCUGGGGAAGCCAUGUCAUGAGGAUGCUUAAAUGACCUUGUGAAGAGAUCCAUGUGGUGAGGAGCUGAGGCCUCUUGCCAACAUCCACGUGAGCGUGCCAUCUUGGAAGUGGAUUCUUCAGCCCCAAUCAAACCUUCAGAUGCAGGUGCAGUCAACAUCCUGACUGCAACCUCAUGAGAGACCCUGAGCCAAAACCAUGCAGAGACCACAAGAUCAAAGCUUCCAGGAGAAAGAAAAAUACAAGAGCCCCUGCUUAUGCAGAACACGGCAUAGCCUCUUUCCUGAGAUGUCAAAAGCUUAAUUUCUUCUCUUUUACCCAUAUGAAGAGAAUUUUUCCCCUUAUUUUACUUGCCUCAGUCUUUGUCUCUUGCUCCAAUCGUCUUUUCCAAGGAACUUAGUAUUCAUAGAAGAGUUUGUUUAUACAUUGUAUAUUUCUAUGAUAGUUUUUCUUAGCAGCAGACUUUAGUC
rnacentral:lncRNA from 1 species